GGAAGUGGCACGUGCAGCGCUCUACGGUGGCUGAGGGAGGGCUGCUGCUCUCUGAGCUCUAAAUCCAGCAGUGCCCGGGAAGCUGCAGCGACAGUGGCUUCUGUAGUUGGAGCCUCGAGAAGGAGCAGUUCCGGGAGACGGUUGUAGCUAAGAAAAUGUAAGAGGCAGCCUGCUGCUGAGGCUGGGGUCCCGGGUCCCAGAGGGUUCCAGGGACUACAGAGGAGGCACCAUCCCAACUCUCCACCUUCACUGAGCAGGAGCACCAGAUGAAAAAAAUAGAGAAACUCACCGUCUGGCUAAAUAAUAUGACCUGUGAAAGAAAUGAGCUGUGUGAAAUCCUCGCCAAUUACACAAACAAGGAUUUGAAAAACAGGUAGUCAUUAUGCCCAGUUCUCUGCUAAUCAUCUUAAUACCACAGUAUCAAGCCCAGGUUUCCUGAGGAACAGGAGACUGUACAUCCAGGGUGUCCUGGUGCCUAAACUAAACUUCCUGAGUGCAUUCAAGAUGCAGAACUUGGACCCUGGGUAGGAGUGCGAUGGGGACACAGGCUGUUCUGUUUCCUAUAAAUGAAAAGCAGAGCCUGUGGCCUGAACCAGAGUCUGAGGACAGGGACAGUAGUGUGUGAGCUCUCAACAUGCAUUUCAAGAUGCCUUGACAAGUGUUGGCUUGUGGGAGAUGCUAGGUCCUGUUAGUUUGUUGUGAGUCUUUGUACUUGACCAGCGGAUGAUUGUGUCUGAAAGCUCAAAACCACUCCAUAGGGAGUUUAUCUUCUCGUUGGCAAAAAAAAAAAAAAAAAAAAAAAGUCAUUUGGGCAAGAAACUGUUCUUGUCUAGAAUGCUUGAUCAAGUGGACAUGCAGGACCCAUAGGAAGGUGGCCACUGAACUUUGCUUGGUGAAAUGGUCCUUCAGGUUCCUGCUUACCAGAGGAAACUGCCAGACAUUCUACAGGACACAGAGAGAAAUGAUUGGGAGACUCUAGGCGUGUGGGCUGAAGACAGAUGCCUCAACUUUACAAAGGAACAUUAGAGGCAAGAGAGCCUGGAUGAAAGACUAAAGGACCUGUUGAAGCAGGAGGAGCUGGUACCCAGCAAAAGGACAUGGCAGAAAAGAUGCAACAUCACUUCAACGUCUCUGAGAUAAGGAUCUCCUAGAUGGUCUACAUUCAAUUUCCCAGGCUGCUCACAUUCACCUGGUAUCUAAUCAAGGCCAUGCAUUUUCUGACAGUUUAAUGUCGAUGGCUUUGGUAAGCUGACUGAGCACUCAGCCCUCUCUAGGUGGAGGGAAAUCUGUCAUGGAAGACUGUUGAUGUCAAGCUGUUCCUGACAGACUACACCAAAAACCAUAAUUUUCAUUCUCCAGGCCAGUGUUGAAGCUGACUCCAUGUCCUGCACAAGUGUUCCUGAAGACAAUGCACCACAGAGAUCUUCACUGUCCCUCAUUCCCCGGGUUAGUCACUUUUUCCUGCAUAUUUAAAAUCAGUGGGUAUGUCUCCAUUUCUCAGCCUCAACUGAAUUGCCUGGUCCUGAAAAAGGAUUUAUAGAAGACAUCUGAGUCAUCUUUGAUGUUUUUUGGUAUGCAGAUGCUGCCCACAUAUUUGUGGAGUCUCUAAUAAGUGCACAAGUGUCUGUAUGCUGAAAGAAUCAAAUAGUGACCAAGACAUUACAGGAUCAGCAGUGGGUGAUAAUUUAUCAAAAGCUUCCCAGAGGGACACAAAGAAUGCUCUAGAAAAUCUCUCAUUCUUAGUCUGAGUAAGGGCUUGGCCUACAAAGCCUGCAGGAGGCAUGGCUACAGUAGCUUUGAAAAAGGCUUUCACAUUCACUGACUGCCUUCCUACCAUGUUUCCAAGGCCAGCCACAGGCUGUAGGUCUGUGCUGCUAAAAGUGCAGCAAGAGAAUGCUGCUGACCUUAAUUGUUUUGUUUUUUUUUGGUUGGGUUUUGUUUCCUUUGGGUUUUUUUGUUAUAGAUUGAGAUUUUGAUAUUUAUUUUUUCUUUCUUUUGAUCUUGUAGUUUUUUGGGUAUUUUGAUAAGGCUGUUUACUGUUUAUAUUGACUUCUCCCUUUAAGCCCCUAUUGAGUAAUAUUACUGUGUUUUUAUUAAUAAUAAAGUGAUUUUGAACUUU